ACUAAAUUCAAUUCUAAAAAUCCUAGAGGCAAUCGUUUGGUCCCCGGCAACGGCGCCAAAUUGAUU
rnacentral:sRNA from 1 species